AGUGAACGCUGGCGGUAGGCCUAACACAUGCAAGUCGAACGGCAGCACAGUAAGAGCUUGCUCUUACGGGUGGCGAGUGGCGGACGGGUGAGGAAUACAUCGGAAUCUACUUUUUCGUGGGGGAUAACGUAGGGAAACUUACGCUAAUACCGCAUACGACCUACGGGUGAAAGCAGGGGAUCUUCGGACCUUGCGCGAUUGAAUGAGCCGAUGUCGGAUUAGCUAGUUGGCGGGGUAAAGGCCCACCAAGGCGACGAUCCGUAGCUGGUCUGAGAGGAUGAUCAGCCACACUGGGACUGGGACACGGUCCAGACUCCUACGGGAGGCAGCAGUGGAGAAUAUUGGACAAUGGGCGCAAGCCUGAUCCAGCCAUACCGCGUGGGUGAAGAAGGCCUUCGGGUUGUAAAGCCCUUUUGUUGGGAAAGAAAAGCAGCAGGUUAAUACGCCGCUGUUCUGACGGUACCCAAAGAAUAAGCACCGGCUAACUUCGUG
rnacentral:rRNA from 1 species